GAAAAGGGCAAGUCUACUAGGAAAGCUCUAAAUAGCCCUCUUUUUCUGCAAAUUUGGGAAGUCUCCAUCAAAUUCCAUCCGAGACCAGACCAAAGAAUGUGCAAAGGUUGUUGCCAUGAACUCAGCCAUUCAAAAAUAUUUUUCCGUAACGUUUUGCUGCAGAACCUUCCUUUGUAAGUUCUAAAUCGACUUAUGAUCAUCUCUUCUUGUACUAAUAAAAAUUGUAUCCCUUUUUUGCAUUGUAAAGCUCUGCCACUAGAUCUGUAAAGUUCUAUAAUAUUGUUGAUGAAAUUGUUAGUUGAGAUCAA